UACGUAGGUGGCAAGCGUUGUCCGGAAUCAUUGGGCGUAAAGAGCGCGUAGGUGGCUUGUCAGGUCUGAUGUGAAAACCUGGGGCUCAACUCCAGGCUUGCAUCAGAAACCGGCUUGCUAGAGUCUGGGAGAGGAGAGUGGAAUUCCUGGUGUAGCGGUGAAAUGCGUAGAUAUCAGGAGGAACACCGGUAGCGAAGGCGGCUCUCUGGAACAGUACUGACGCUGAGGCGCGAAAGCUAGGGGAGCGAACAGGA
rnacentral:rRNA from 1 species